rnacentral:lncRNA from 1 species
AGAAGUGCAUGCUAGAUGAUGAAGACUGAGUAAUAUACAAAAUGCGUUUAAGUUCAGCUUUUUGGAAGUUGCAGGCAACUUCUAUUAAAUAUCGGCCAAGGGAUGUUGACAUAGAUUACUGCUAAUCAGACCACCUAAGCAUUGGUUGAAAAUGUAUAUCAGUGCCAAUUAGCUGCCUGUUGGUGCGUCGGUCGAUUUAUCACAUGCUGUCGAUGGUUAAAGAAACUGUCAUAAGCAAGCCAAAUAUUGGAAAAUACUUUGUUAGUUGAACCAUACGGAAAUCAGUUUGUAUUCCACCAGGAGAUAAGACUUGCCUCUGACAAAUGGAUAAUGAAUCCCCAGUGCAGAGGAAAAUCCUAUGCAACAUGAGUUUUUGUUUCUGGAGCACUUCUCCCUCAUUUGCAGUUGCCUUUGAGGUUGAUCAAGAGGUGUGUGAUAGUUAUCCAUCACUUAGCUCUUCAAUCAAUUAAAAUGAUGAGACGAGACUUGGUAGUUCCAUCUCUAUGAUUUCUGAAUUAUCCUUCCAAUGCUUUUUUUUUUUUUUGGGUUUCAAAGUCAAAGAAUUGCAGCUUUAAAGCUAGGAAAGUCAUGGUUGCAGACACAUUCCAAUAUGCUCACUAAGCAUGCCUUGAACCUAUCAGAAAUGUUAUUGGUGGAGCAAAUUCAUCAAGACCUGCAAAAUUAGGUUGUGGUUGAAUUCAAUAUACACUUCUUCAAUCUGCGUGACACUACAUCAGUUGAUCAAAAUAUAGACUAUAGUGGUGAAAUACUCUUGAGGGUUUGAGUCUGGCUGACUUGCCUGAUUUGAUUUUUCCAGGCGGAGUCCCUUCUCUGACAUUGUCAAGGGGAGGCUCUCUGCUAAUGUCAUUGCCAUGAUCCAGAGAACUUUCAGAUGGAUGGAACUAAAGCUGAAGCUUGAUGUUGGGCUCUUCAGCAUCCCCUUCCACUUUAGCCUCCUACAUGAAAAAUAAGAUUUUCUCACUAGGAUGAGAAAAUGCAGAUGUCAUCAAACAAAUAUUUAUCUUAACAUUGGUUUUGCCUUUUUCACAAACAAGGGUACAGCAAACUCAUGGCUCCUAUUUGCAAGACAUCAUGAAUCUAUACAGUGGUGCAUCAUAAUUCAGGAGUCCAUGUAGUGUAAAAUUUCCCCUUUUCUUCCUUCAAAGUCGGUUUACUUUUCCAAAUUGAGUUCCUUCCUGUACAAAGCGUAUUAUGACCUUCCAUAUCCCUCAGAAUGUCCAGAAGUGAAAAUCUAUAAUCGUGAAUUUCUUCCAUUUAGGUGAUUGAACUUGAAUGUAUUGAUGAAAGAGGCAAAAGGAGAAGACAG